UGGCGCAGCGCAGUGGUAAUGCGACUGCCUGCGACGCAUAAAGUCCCGGGUUCGAUUCUCGGUGCGUCAA